CAGUUUCACGCUUUGGCUUUGGGAAGGGAUAUGAAUCUCCUUCUUUAGGGCGAAUGAUCAAAGCUCCAUAGACAGUGGCUCUGAGCCAUGAACUGUGAGCAUGCCACCAAAGUGUACCUUCUUGUCCUUGGAUGGUAAACCGGUUCAGAAUUUACCAGUGAAUAGUAACAUUAUAACGAGCUCUGUUUACAACGUUGACCACUAGAGUGUCUCCAUUGUUCACUUCCAAUGUUGGUCCUGGAUACAUCCCAUUCACUGUAAUAGUACUGCGGGUUCUGCACAGCCUCUUCACUGGCGUCGCUUGCACCUGUUUCACAAGAGUAGCUCAAUUCAUAUAUCUAUGUCCCAUGCAAACCAAGAAGCUAACAAGUAUGAAGGCAAGGCAAGUGACAUACGACAAAAUCAUGGUAGUGAACUUUUGCAUCUGUUAUUGGCAUUGUGCUCACAAAGAGAACCAAGAGGCCGAAGAACACGAAAAAGGAACAAAAGGUAUUGCUGUUAUUCCUGUAAGCCUCCAUUUCCACUCCAGUCGUGUGGCAAUUUUCGGUGGAAUGUGAUGUUACAGGUGCUAAAA